UGUGGAAAUAUGAACUGUCAUAUGAACUGUCUGAAGAAGAACACACCAAAUACAUUUGGGCAUUUGUGGCCUACUGGUUAGCGCUACACUCUCAAAAAUGAUGUGUUAAAUAAUUACACAUUUUUUGUGUUAUUACAAUUUUAACACAAUUUGUGUUAUUUUGUGUUGUUACUGUGUUAUAUUACUGGAAUAUACUGCCCAACACAAAAUGUGUUAAAUUAUUGGCCAAUCCCUGGUGUCCUGGAUGAGCCGUUACCCUGAGAGGUUCUUUUCUCAGCACUUCAAUUUAUCUUGGCGCACUGGAAGAAGGUGCAAGUGGCACACAGAGUGGAUGUAAAUGUCUGAAUAAAAGCUACAAGGUUGUGGAUUGCUGCUAGACAUCCAACGUUGGAGGUUUUUGCAGAGUUUCCAUGCUUUGUGGACAUGCCAUAUAUGAAUUUGGAAAGAUGUUUCCUGGAAAAGCUGUUGUUCAUCCGAAAAUGGGAGGGAAUGUCCACAAGUGAACCUGCAGCUGCCUUGCCACCAGUUCCUGAGGAUGAUGUUUCAUGUUACAGAGCUCUUCAUAAGCUUGUCCAUCUGCUGCCCCCCACUGCAUCAGGCAGGGGCAAAGGGAACACCAAAUGCAGUGUGAAGUCAGCUUUGGGCUACCUUUUGGAUAUAAAACCGACUGGAACCAGCAUUUCCAGUGUGCUGAACAAUCAUCCUGAUAGAUCAGUAGAACAUCGGCAGCCCCACUUGGUGUGCAUUGGAGAUCCCUCCGCCUCCGCCCAAUACAUCAUUGUUCCAGAACACGACUUGCCAUUUCUCUUAAGGAAAACGGUUUGAGAAGUUAUGCACAUUUUACCAGAAAGUGAAAAUCAAAAUGUUUUUCUUAAGGAUACUUGUUACAAAGUUUUUCCAUAACCAUUUCCAUGCAAUUGCUGUCCAGAGAACAGAGGACUUUAAACUAAUUAGUUUAAGAGAUUUAAUUGAUUUUAGACCAAUACAUUUGAUAUUUUUUAACAAUGAUAUUUUUGUAAACCCUCGCUAUGAACUUGUGUAAUGUUUAU